GCAGACAAUGCGCAGUAAACAAAGCCGCAAGAACGUCCGAAGCCAGAAGUACGAAGACGAGACAAAUCCAUGUACUAACCAUCAUUCCCAUAGCAGCAUGUGCCGUA
rnacentral:lncRNA from 1 species